rnacentral:rRNA from 1 species
UGGGGAAUAUUGGACAAUGGGCGGAAGCCUGAUCCAGCAACGCCGCGUGAGGGAUGACGGCCUUCGGGUUGUAAACCUCUUUCAGUACCGACGAAGCGGAAGUGACGGUAGGUACAGAAGAAGCACCGGCCAACUACGUGCCAGCAGCCGCGGUAAUACGUAGGGUGCGAGCGUUGUCCGGAAUUAUUGGGCGUAAAGGGCUCGUAGGCGGUUUGUCGCGUCGGGAGUGAAAACACUGGGCUUAACUCAGUGCUUGCUUCCGAUACGGGCAGACUAGAGGCAUGCAGGGGAGAACGGAAUUCCUGGUGUAGCGGUGAAAUGCGCAGAUAUCAGGAGGAACACCGGUGGCGAAGGCGGUUCUCUGGGCAUGUCCUGACGCUGAGGAGCGAAAAGUGUGGGGAGCGAACAGGAUUAGAUACCCUGGUAGUCCACACCGUAAACGUUGGGCGCUAGGUGUGGGGGCCUAUUCCAUGGGUUCCGUGCCGCAGCUAACGCAUUAAGCGCCCCGCCUGGGGAGUACGGCCGCAAGGCUAAAAACUC